GAUGAACGCUGGCGGCGUGCCUAAUACAUGCAAGUCGAACGGGAGACUUGAAUUCGUUCAAGUUGAGAGUGGCGCACGGGUGAGGAGCACAUGGCUGACCUGCCCUUCAGGGGGGGAUAACGGCUGGAAACGGCUGCUAAUACCCCAUACGCUCUUUGGGAUUAGAGGCCCGGAGAGGAAAGCCUGCGGGUACUGAAGGAGGGGGCUGUGGCCCAUCAGCUAGUUGGUGAGGUAACGGCUCACCAAGGCGACGACGGGUCGGGGGCCUGAGAGGGUGACCCCCCACACUAGGACUGAGACACGGCCCAGACUCCUACGGGAGGCAGCAGUAAGGGAUCUUGCGACAAUGGGCGAAAGCCUGACGCAGCAACGCCGCGUGCGGGAUGACGGCCUUCGGGUUGUAAACCGCUUUUCAGGGGGAAGAGGAAGGACGGUACCCCUGGAAUAAGUCUCGGCUAACUACGUG
rnacentral:rRNA from 1 species